CGCACCUUGCGCCUCUUGGUAUUCCGAGAGGCAUGCCUGUUUGAGUGUCAUGAAUCAUCAAUCCCACGGGUUUCUCACCUGUGCGGACUUGGAACUGGGCGUCUGCCUCCCAAGGCUCGCCUCAAAUGAUUCAGUGGGAACUUCUUGACCUACGCCUGACGUGAUAAGUUUCGUCUCGGCCGGUCCUGAGGCCCGCUCCCAACCCCCAAUAUCUUUUGACAUUGACCUCAAAUCAGGUAGGGCUACCCGCUGAACUUAA
rnacentral:misc_RNA from 1 species